rnacentral:rRNA from 1 species
UGGGGAAUAUUGCACAAUGGGCGAAAGCCUGAUGCAGCAACGCCGCGUGAGUGAUGAAGGUCUUCGGAUUGUAAAGCUCUGUCUUUUGGGACGAUAAUGACGGUACCAAAGGAGGAAGCCACGGCUAACUACGUGCCAGCAGCCGCGGUAAUACGUAGGUGGCGAGCGUUGUCCGGAUUUACUGGGCGUAAAGGGUGCGUAGGCGGAUGUUUAAGUGAGAUGUGAAAUACCCGGGCUUAACUUGGGUGCUGCAUUUCAAACUGGAUAUCUAGAGUGCAGGAGAGGAGAAUGGAAUUCCUAGUGUAGCGGUGAAAUGCGUAGAGAUUAGGAAGAACACCAGUGGCGAAGGCGAUUCUCUGGACUGUAACUGACGCUGAGGCACGAAAGCGUGGGUAGCAAACAGGAUUAGAUACCCUGGUAGUCCACGCCGUAAACGAUGAGUACUAGGUGUAGGAGGUAUCGACCCCUUCUGUGCCGCAGUAAACACAUUAAGUACUCCGCCUGGGAAGUACGAU